CUAGCAUAUCAAUAAGCGGAGGAAAAGAAACUAACAAGGAUUCCCCUAGUAACUGCGAGUGAAGCGGGAAAAGCUCAAAUUUAAAAUCUGGUGGUCUUUGGCCAUCCGAGUUGUAAUUUAGAGAAGCGUCUUCCGCGCUGGACCGUGCACAAGUCUCCUGGAAUGGAGCCUCAUAGAGGGUGAGAAUCCCGUCUUUGGCACGGAUGCACCAGGGCUUUUGUGAUGCGCUCUCGAAGAGUCGAGUUGUUUGGGAAUGCAGCUCAAAAUGGGUGGUGAACUCCAUCUAAAGCUAAAUAUUGGCGAGAGACCGAUAGCGAACAAGUACCGUGAGGGAAAGAUGAAAAGCACUUUGGAAAGAGAGUGAAACAGUACGUGAAAUUGUUGAAAGGGAAACGCUUGAAGUCAGUCGCGUCGACCGAGACUCAACCUUGCCCUUGGCUUGGUGUACUUCUCGAUCGACGGGUCAGCAUCAAUUUUGCCCCUUGGAUAAUGGUGAGGGAAAUGUGACACCUUUACGGUGUGUUAUAGUCCCUUGUCGCAUGCAAGGGGUGGGACUGAGGAACUCAGCACGCACCUUUUGGGUGUCGGGGCUUUGCCCACGAUACGUGCUUAGGAUGUUGGCAUAAUGGCUUUAAAUGACCCGUCUUGAAACACGGACCAAGGAGUCUAACAUGCCUGCGAGUGCUUGGGUGGAAAACCCAUGCGCGCAAUGAAAGUGAAAGUUGGGACCUCUGUCGUGGAGGGCACCGACGCCCGGACCAGACCUUUUGUGACGGCUCUGCGGUAGAGCAUGCAUGUUAGGACCCGAAAGAUGGUGAACUAUGCCUGAAUAGGGUGAAGCCAGAGGAAACUCUGGUGGAGGCUCGUAGCGAU
rnacentral:rRNA from 1 species